GAAAAAGUAUACAAUCCUCUGACCAUUUCUCUAACAGGUAAGCAUGUUCUUUCCAUUACGUGUUCCGUAUGCCAUAUUGAUCGUCCCAAUAUUGUAACUUUCCCAUUAUUACUAAUUUGACAUUGCUAAUCUAUUUUCUCUAACAACAUGUAUGAAACCCGACUUAUCUAAAUUUGCCUACUUACAUUUUAACUUCAACCUUUAACCAUAAGAGAACUGCUUAAUUUGUAUCUAAAAUCUUUUGAUUUUGUCAUCUUGAUAUAAAUAUGAAAUUUGUGUAAAUAGUGAAGUUGAUAUCUUAAUAGGAGCUUGGCCUAACUAUUUUUGAUAUGUUCCUUUUCAAUAAUUUACGGGAACGACAAACAGUAAUGUCCAGGCAUUCAAAAGGAGAUAUGUGCAAGGAAGGAGUUGAAGAGCUGAUGUUUCCAGGACAGAUUGCAAUUGCUAGAAUACUUCUUUUCAUUUGAAUUUCUUUUGUUUAUAACUUACUAGAUCACCCCUUCAACCAAAUCAUUCAUAACUUGAAUAAGUUGCUUCAUUGAAAAUUGUGGCUUUUAUGGUUGAAAUAAGUUCGAACAAUACUUUGUUUACCACAGGCUUACUAUGUUGGGCCCGUGCUAAGCACGGGCCAUGCCUUUCUAGCUUAUUUAGAAGUGGAAGUAGGGAAGGACGAACAAGGGCAAAUAGGUAAUUCUAAUAUUAACUUUGGGAUAAUUCCUAAUGUAAAUAGUACAUUAUAAUGGGCCCAUCUGUCAUAGAUAUAUGACCUACUCUAUUAACACGUGUAUUGCUCUUUAUUUCUCAAGAAACACGUGUGCUACUAAUUGUGUUGUCUUUUUCAUUGGAACAUUUAACAAAAAACUUGUGUAAAGUGAGCUUAUUGUUCUUCUUCUGGGAAUGAUUUCUACCGUCCCUUCAGUUUUAAAUCCCUUUCCCACUGGUAUUAUACCUUUUCCUGCCAGUGUAGAACCUAGCAGAUAUCGAUUAAUCUAAUUUUAUGUUAUUUUUAUUUUGCCUUUAGGUCAAUUUUUCAUUGGAUUGGUUUGAAUUUUCUUUCAAUUUUGUUGAUUUCUUGGGUAUUUAGGGUUGUUAUACCGUUCCAUGCACUACAUUUUAGAGUUCAUUGUAAUUUGUAGCACUGGCCGUUUUUCUCCUUCUCCUCUCCGACUUGCCUAUUUACAAAUUUGUAUUUAAUAUAAUAAUUUCUCCUAUUCAGGUCUAUUACUUCAAGGAGAUAGGGGAGAAUUGCAAGCAUGAGAUGCCGGAAUGGAGCAGAAGCUUGAAAUUCAAACAAUCUAUCAAAUUUUUAUAUCGUUAUACAUCAGGUAUACCGACCUCAAUUUUUCCAAAUCAAACCAAGAAAAUAUAGGUUCUCCCCUUUUUUAUUUACCGACUAUGAAUUUCUGAUUUGAGUAGAGAUUGCAACACUAAAUUCCUUAUAGGGUGAGUUCACAAUUUUGCGGUCUACAUGAGUUACAUUCUGCUACCACAACAAUUAGUCUUCUAAUUUUUCUUCAACACCCAUACUUUUAUCUAACUCUGUUGGAGGCUAAUGGAGAUUAAACAAACAACAAACUACCUUAAGUUGAUGACAUGAUGGUUAACCUUAAAAUACACAUAUCUCUUUUUCUGAAAAUUGGCACGGACUAGCACGAAUCAACAGGCAAGUUGGUAAAUUAUUUUUUGUCAUUGAUGUUAUGAUAAACAAAGUCGUGCUAUCAUAUGAAUGGAUUGUUGGUGUUCUGUGGUAAUAGGAAGUUCUACUUUAAAGUUUACAGGCUAGCUUCCUGGUACGUAUGAAUGACAAGACUCAAAUUGGACAUAGAAGACGGUUUCCAUGUUCUAAGGUAUGAAACUUACCUUUAAUAUGUCUCUCAUUUUUCUUGAUUUUGGU
rnacentral:lncRNA from 1 species